GUCUCAGUAGCUCAAGGUAGAGCGUAGCGCUUUGGAUCGUAUAGAUCUUGCUAAGGUUGUGAGUUCAAGUCUCGCCUGAGAUA
rnacentral:tRNA from 1 species